AAACUUUGAGCCCUUUUUUUCUCUCUAAAAAACUCUCCAUGUCCGGCCACUAAGCCGUCGGCGCUCCGCUGUGGCCACCAACCAUCGGCAACGGCGACUGUCACCUCCAGUGGCCGGAGUUGUAAAAAGUUGUACUUUUUUAGCCUAUUUGAUUCCCAAAACCUAGAUCUAAAGGCGGUGCCUUCUAUUUAAAAAAACCAAAAAAAGAAACAACUUUCGGCCGCUCUUUUGAA
rnacentral:lncRNA from 1 species